GAGAGAGUAGUGAGGACAGGUAGGAACAGGUGAGCACGGGGGGAGCAGGUGAGGGCAGGCGAGGACAGGUGGGGACAUGAGGGGACAGGAGAGAGUGAAGGGAUCAGGUGAGGACAAGUGGGGACAGGUGAGGGACAGGUGAACACAGCAGGGAAGCAGGUGAGGGUUCCUAACCUGGUGCCUGUUCUGUGCCGUGCAGGGGAGACACAUGGACGGCAUUUUGGGGAAAAACCACUGAAAUGUUUUGUAAGGGGGUGUGGGAACCUUUCCUUGAAAACAGAUUUGCUGUCACCGAGUGUUUAUUUCCAUUAGGUCUGAGGGGGUGGGCUCUGGCCCCCGCAGAUAAAAGCCGGUGGCAUAGGUGGGGUGAGCAGGGUUGUUUUUGUUCGUUUGUCUUCUGCAGAAGCCACAAAAAAGGACUCUUUUUUUCACUAUGCAAACAAGGGGGAAGAGGCAAAACCCGAGAGAAGAAAUGUGUGUGGAGCCAGCGAGGUUUCAGUUUGCAGGGAGUGUGUUGGGGGGAAUGAGGGGAAUUCAGUUGUGCCUCACACUUCUGGAGGAGCACAGAGGUGCUGGGAGAGUGUCUGAGGGACACCCCCUGGAAAAUGAGCCUGAAGUCGGCGUGUUUCUGCACUAAAAGCUGUGAAUUUUCACGUGCAUCUUUGCUGACAAAGAAUCAGAGAAUAUCCUGAGGAUCAUCCACUCCAGCUCUUGUCCCUGCACAGACACCCCAGCAAUCCCACGGUGUGCUGAGAGCAUUGUCCAAACACUCCUGGAGCUCUGUCAGCCUUGGGGCUGUGCCCAUUGCCUGGGGAGUCUGUUCAGUGCCUGAGCACCCUCUGGGAUAAGAACCUUUCCCUGAUAUCCAACCAAACCAUCCCAGGCUCAGCUCCAGCUGUUCCCUCAGGUCCUGUCGCUGGUCACCAGAGCAGAGAUCUCCCCACCAGGAGGAUGUUGAAGAGCCCAGUGCCCUUAGCUGCUCCUCCAUGCCCUUCCCUUCCUUCACCAUCCUCACAGCCCCCUCGGGAUGCUCUCAAACAGCUUUAGACCUCUGUCUCUUGCACAGGAAUUACUCCAGAACACUUUGUUCACAUGGUGGGGUUUUAGGGUGACAGAAGCUCCCAGCAGAGGGACCAUUUACUGUCAGAGUUUCUGUCCAUCCUCUACCAGCUGUAGCUUCACCUCGGUGCAAAGUUCACACCUCUGCAACGUUCAUUGUCACCUGCAUAACAGUGAGAAGUCUUUGGGUCACUGACAGUGUUUUUCUCAGUUCAUCUACAAAUUCAGGAGCUGAAGCCACCCAUUGUUGUGUGGUGAGAGAUGGAAAAGCACAGUGAGGCCUCGUGGAGAGGAGGGAGUGUUUGUAAAGCUUGUUUGGAAAAAUCAUCUUCUGCUUCCUGAUAAAUGCCAUUUUCCAGGCUGGGAUUUUUCCAGAGCAGCUGCCCUGGAGUUUCCCACAGGGUCCCACGUGGUGGGAGGUGGCUGGAAAAGGCCAUUUAGGUUUUUCAGAGUUGUUUAGGAAGUUUGGGUACAAAGCCAGCGGAAGGUGAUCUGUGGGAAAUGUCAUUUCAUGGGAAGAUGCAGGAAACAGGAUGGGAUUUAGCACUGAGAAUGGACUAUUGAAGUCACAUGGAAGAGGUGUGGGCUGAUCCAGAGGGAAAAGUCAGGUGAAUCAAAGCCAUUUAAAAUCACUUCCAAUAGAUUUAAAUGAAACCAAAGUAGAGCAACUCCACUUUUUAGCCUGGUUGCCGACAGAGGGAUUCCAGAUGAUAUCACUGAUACGAUCUGAACCCACACCUUUACUUCAGGAUGUCAGGGAAGAGAAGGAAGUGUUUGUGUCUGGGUCACUGGAGCUCUGUGUCACGGUGUGUUUCAGGCUGUGUGCCAUGACCUCCUCCAUGGCUGCAGGAGGAAAUGCCCAGCGAGGGAAGGCUCUUUCUGCACAGAAUCGGGUGAUAAAAGCAAAUUGAAACUGGUUGUUGACAGAAAUUACUGACUUCUGGAGUCACAAGUGAAGCUUUACGUGAUGAGUUACAACAAAAUAAGAUACCAGCCUGAUACGUGCAAAACCACUUCAAAAAACCCCUCGAAGACUGUGGAAAAAGAAACGUCAAAGUGAAAGAAGGGAACUGAGAGCACAAACAGCAAGACAGACCUGAAGCAGGAUCUGGGCUUUCAGAUUCAAGUGCCUGAUCCCAUUUGGCGAUCAGAUCCUGCUGGGAGAGGUUUGCCAGCCUCUGUCAGUAACACUCUGAGCACAAGGGGGGAUUUCAAACCCAGGGAUCCAAGCCCUGGAUUCAAAGUCUUGAGCAGGUUUUGCAACUCCUCAAAGGCACAAACAUGGCUGUAACAGUCCAGGAUGAAACUGGAGCUUGCCUGGGAGAACAUGUGGAAUUCCUGAACCCCCACUUCUGCAGUGUGGCACCCACAGUUCGUAUCCAGGUGCCUGGAGAGCUCAAAGCUGCAGCUGAGUGAACUGUGAGCAUCACCCUGAUCCAACAAAUUGGUACAAAUACCUCACCCUGUGAGUUGGUACAACUGCAGCUCCCUCUGAGCUGGUACAACCAGCAGCAGUUGCACAGAGCAUGAGGUGUCACAGCUGCUGCUGCUGUUGGUGGCACCAACCAUCCUGUACAAGAAAAGCAGCGCUCACGUUUACAGCCGAGGGGAGCACCGUGUGUCCUUUGGGCAGCAUAAUCCUCUCUUGUGAGCAGCGUCUGCAGCUCAUUUGGCUCCAGGCAGAGCAACUUGGCAAGACUUGUCCAGGUGAUGCACAGGUG